CAAACGGGGGCAUUUGUAUGGCCCGUGAGAGGUGAAAUUCUUGGACCGUGGCCAGACAAACUACAGCGAAAGCAUUUGCCAAGAAUGUCUUCAUUAAUCAAGAACGAAAGUCAGAGGUUCGAAGGCGAUCAGAUACCGCCCUAGUUCUGACCGUAAACGAUGCCAACUAGCGAUCCGCCGAUGGAGAUUUAUUGCCUUGGUGGGGAGCUUCCCGGAAACGAAAGUCUUCCGGUUCCGGGGGAAGUAUGGUUGCAAAGGCUGAAACUUAAAGGAAUUGACGGAAGGGCACCACCAGGAGUGGAGCCUGCGGCUUAAUUUGACUCAACACGGGGAAACUCACCCGGCCCGGACACUGUGAGGAUUGACAGAUUGAUAGCUUUUUCAUGAUUCAGUGGAUGGUGGUGCAUGGCCGUUCUUAGUUCGUGGAGUGAUUUGUCUGGUUUAUUCCGAUAACGAGCGAGACUCUAACCUACUAAAUAGCUGUUACAUUUUUAAAGUGUCUUCGGCUUCUUAGAGGGAUUUGCGGUGUUCAGCCGAAAGAAAUUGAGCAAUAACAGGUCUGUGAUGCCCUUAGAUGUCCGGGGCUGCACGCGCGCUACACUGGCAAAAUCAACGUGCUUGUCCUACCCCGAAAGGGGCGGGUAAACCAUUGAAAAUUUGCCGUGAUUGGGAUCGGAAAUUGCAAUUAUUUUCCGUGAACGAGGAAUUCCAAGUAAGUGCGAGUCAUCAGCUCGCGUUGAUUACGUCCCUGCCCUUUGUACACACCGCCCGUCGCUGCCCGGGACUGAGCCCAUUUCGAGAAAAUUUGGGGACCCGUUGAUUUAGCUUUUA
rnacentral:rRNA from 1 species